rnacentral:rRNA from 1 species
AUACGUAGGUGGCAAGCGUUAUCCGGAAUUACUGGGCGUAAAGGGCGUGUAGGCGGGAAGACAAGUCGGGAGUGAAAUCCCAGGGCUUAACCCUGGAGCUGCUUCCGAAACUGUCUUUCUUGAGUGUCGGAGAGGAAAGUGGAAUUCCCAGUGUAGCGGUGAAAUGCGUAGAGAUUGGGAGGAACACCAGUGGCGGAGGCGACUUUCUGGACGAUAACUGACGCUGAGGCGCGAAAGCGUGGGGAGC